rnacentral:rRNA from 1 species
AGAUUGAACGCUGGCGGCAUGCCUUACACAUGCAAGUCGAACGGCAGCACGGGAGCAAUCCUGGUGGCGAGUGGCGAACGGGUGAGUAAUACAUCGGAACGUGCCCAAUCGUGGGGAUAACGCAGCGAAAGCUGUGCUAAUACCGCAUAAGAUCUACGGAUAGAAAGCGAGGGAUCGCAAGACCUUGCGACGAAGUGGACGCGGCCGAGUGGACAAGUAGUUAGGUAGGUUAGGUAGAAGGGUAAAGGCUACCGAACC